rnacentral:rRNA from 1 species
UACGUAGGGUGCAAGCGUUGUCCGGAAUUAUUGGGCGUAAAGAGCUCGUAGGCGGUCUGUCACGUCGGGCGUGAAAAUCCGGGGCUCAACCCCGGACUUGCGGUGGGUACGGGCAGACUAGAGUGUGGUAGGGGAGACUGGAAUUCCUGGUGUAGCGGUGAAAUGCGCAGAUAUCAGGAAGAACACCCGUGGCGAAGGCGGUUCUCUGGGACGGUACUGACGCUGAGACGCGAAAGCGUGGGGAGCGAACAGG